GACGAACGCUGGCGGCGUGCUUAACACAUGCAAGUCGAACGGAAAGGCCCUGCUUGCAGGGUACUCGAGUGGCGAACGGGUGAGUAACACGUGGGGGAUCUGCCCUGCACUUCGGGAUAAGCUUGGGAAACUGGGUCUAAUACCGGAUAGGAGCCAUCUUUAGUGUGGUGGUUGGAAAGUUUUUUCGGUGUAGGAUGAGCUCGCGGCCUAUCAGCUUGUUGGUGGGGUAAUGGCCUACCAAGGCGGCGACGGGUAGCCGGCCUGAGAGGGUGUACGGCCACAUUGGGACUGAGAUACGGCCCAGACUCCGACGGGAGGCAGCAGUGGGGAAUAUUGCACAAUGGGCGCAAGCCUGAUGCAGCGACGCCGCGUGGGGGAUGAAGGCCUUCGGGUUGUAAACCCCUUUCGCUAGGGACGAAGCUUUUUUGUGACGGUACCUAGAUAAGAAGCACCGGCUAACUACGUG
rnacentral:rRNA from 1 species